rnacentral:misc_RNA from 1 species
AAAGUCGUAACAAGGUAACCGUAGGUGAUCCUGCGGUUGGAUCAUUAGUAUAACUUGGGCUCUUCGGGGCUUUUGGAUGACAUUUGGCCCAGUGCCCGACGGGGCGUAUACAUGCUGGUCCGAAUGUGAACCAUAACAUUAUGUGAACUGUAUUGUCUCUGGCGGGGGGGUGAAGCAUACGUUAUUUGCUUUAUCUGUCAGCUUGAUGUAACCUUAUGUCAAGUCGUGGACAUCCCGUCAAACACUUGUCAAACCUAUUGUCUUUUUUUUUUGUCUAACAAUUUUUUUGUAUCAAUAUACAAACAACUUUUGGCAACGGAUCUCUUGGCUCUC